rnacentral:rRNA from 1 species
AUUUGACUCAACGCGGGAAAUCUUACCGGGUCCGGACACACUGAGGAUUGACAGGCAAUAUCUAAAUCGUUUAUAAUAAUUCCUAUUAUAAUACGCUUUUAGUGUUAAAUAUGCUAGUCCUUUCAUGAUUAUGUGAUAGGUGGUGCAUGGCCGUUCUUAGUUCGUGGAGUGAUCUGUCUGCUUAAUUGCGUUUCACUAAGGGCCCAUAAAUUCAAGGUAUGUUAGCUAUCGUUUCUCAAUUGACCCCUUGUCUUCGAUAAGCGCGUGUCUUUUAGAGUUUAAACAUUGCGCAUGCUGUUGGGUCCUGAAAGCAACGAACGUGACCGCAACGUCUUAUUGCCUUUAUCUUGCUAUAUUUUAAUUUAAUUAAAAAUAGCUAACAGAGGCUAAUUUAAAAUAGACGGACCGCUG